CAAGAUGUAGCUUAAAUAAAGCAUCUGGCCUACGCCCAGAAGAUUUCAUGUUAAACUGACCAUCUUGA